rnacentral:tRNA from 1 species
GGGAAGGUGGCUCAGUGGUAGAGUGCUUGCCUUGCAAGCAUGAGGCCUUGGGUUCGAUUCCUCAGCAUCACA